rnacentral:rRNA from 1 species
AUGUCGUCUUCGGUCACGGCUAUAGCUUAUGAGAAGAAUGGGAUUUAUGCUUGGCAGACUGCCCCGUGGUUAUCAAGUCAUUAUUGCCGCCUCCGCUUCCCAAGUUGCCUCGGCUUGCUGUUGGUGUGUGCUGCUUCUGCAGCCCCUGCCGGCCGCCUCUUAGGUUGGUUUUUGCUGCCACUACUGAAGUUUCCAUUGCCUCGGCAAGGUGUCGUCGUCUUACUUGCAAGGCACACAUUGCACCGCGGGCAACAUCUUGCUAUUCAUGGCCACUCAUGUCAAAGCUGGGUUCCAGUUUGA